rnacentral:rRNA from 1 species
AACGAACGCUGGCGGCGUGCCUAACACAUGCAAGUCGUGCGAGAAAGUUCCUUCGGGAGCGAGUAAAGCGGCGCACGGGUGAGUAACACGUAGGUAACCUGCCCCCCAGUCUGGAACAACUAGAGGAAACUCUAGCUAAUGCCGGAUGAGACCACGAUCCCUUCGGGGGGUUGCGGCCAAAGAUGGCCUCUACUUGUAAGCUAUCGCUGAGGGAUGGGCCUGCGGGCCAUUAGCUUGUUGGUGAGGUAACGGCUCACCAAGGCUGUGAUGGCUAGCUGGUCUGAGAGGAUGACCAGCCACACUGGGACUGAGACACGGCCCAGACUCCUACGGGAGGCAGCAGUGGGGAAUAUUGCGCAAUGGGCGAAAGCCUGACGCAGCGACGCCGCGUGGGUGAUGAAGGCCUUCGGGUCGUAAAGCCCUGUCGCAGGGGAAGAAUAAGCAUCGGUAUAAUACGCCGGCGCCCUGACGGUACCCUGCAAGAAAGCACCGGCUAACUCCGUG